rnacentral:rRNA from 1 species
GAUCUUGGUUCAGGAUGAACGCUGGCGGCACGCCUAACACAUGCAAGUCGAACGGAGUUAAGAGAGCUUGCUCUUUAAACUUAGUGGCGGACGGGUGAGUAACACGUGAGCAACCUGCCUUCAGAGAGGGAUAGCUUCUGGAAACGGAUGGUAAUACCUCGUAACAUAUUGGUACGGCAUCGUAUUAAUAUCAAAGAUUUAUCGCUGAAAGAUGGGCUCGCGUCUGAUUAGCUGGUUGGUGAGGUAACGGCCCACCAAGGCAACGAUCAGUAGCCGGACUGAGAGGUUGAACGGCCACAUUGGGACUGAGACACGGCCCAGACUCCUACGGGAGGCAGCAGUGGGGAAUAUUGCACAAUGGGCGCAAGCCUGAUGCAAGCGAUGCCGCGUGAGGGAAGAAGGCAUUUUUGUUGUAAACCUCUGUUAUCAGGGACGAUAAUGACGGUACCUGAGGAGGAAGCUCCGGCUAACUACGUGCCAGCCGCUGC